GGGUUGCUAACUCAACGGUAGAGACCGACUAGUUCCGGGUUCGAGUCCCGGGCAACCCA
rnacentral:tRNA from 1 species